rnacentral:rRNA from 1 species
UAAGGAAUAUUGGUCAAUGGACGCAAGUCUGAACCAGCCAUGCCGCGUGAAGGAUGAAGGUCCUCUGGAUUGUAAACUUCUUUUAUCUGGGACGAAAACGGGAUUUUUAUCUCAAUUGACGGUACCAGAGGAAUAAGCACCGGCUAACUCCGUGCCAGCAGCCGCGGUAAUACGGAGGGUGCGAGCGUUAUCCGGAUUUACUGGGUUUAAAGGGUGCGUAGGUGGGCUUAUAAGUCAGUGGUGAAAUCUCCGAGCUUAACUUGGAAACUGCCGUUGAUACUAUAGGUCUUGAAUUAUCUGGAGGUAAGCGGAAUAUGUCAUGUAGCGGUGAAAUGCUUAGAUAUGACAUAGAACACCAAUUGCGAAGGCAGCUUACUACAUAUAAAUUGACGCUGAGGCACGUAAGCGUGGGGAUCAAACA